AACACACACACUUGCAAAAGAAAAAGAAAAGAGAGAAAGAAAGAAGAGGCUGCCUGUGGGUCUCCCUUCUCCCUCUUUUCUUCUUCUCUCUUUUUUCUUUUGUGUCUCUGCUU
rnacentral:ribozyme from 14 species